rnacentral:lncRNA from 1 species
AGACACUGCAGAGUGAGAAACAGAUGAUGGUUCUGUGGCAAACGUCCUUUUGCUGAAUAUUCUACCUACGUGGCAACAAAAACUUUGGCCCCAGCAGUUUCUCACUCUCCAGCUACUCCACUGGCAACUUCCAACAAUUUGUCAAAGUGACCACUUGCAUGCUCUUGCCAGUCUAUGGCUCCAGUUGCUUCUGUUCCAGGUAAGCAGACCUCUGCUAUAUUCUCUGUCUCUCCAGAUUUUGGGGUGAUCAUUUGUCCUGUACAAGUACAAGUCAUUGAUUUUCAGUUUGUCCAGCUUUUUCUUGUUGUUAGGAUAAAAGUGGUGACUUCCAAGUUCUUAUGUGUUGGAACUGAAACCAGAAGUCUACAUACUUGUUUCUAAAACCGGGUUUCUUAAAAACUCUCUGAACCUCAGUUUCAACAUUUGUGACUGGAUGUAACAAUAUCUACCUUCUAUGGUGAUUGUGGGGAAUAAAGGAGAAAAUGUGAAGUGCCUAGCACAUAAUACCCAGCAAUGAUUGGAUAAUGGUACCCAUCCCCUCCUCUCCCCUGCAAUGAAAUCACUAGAAGUGUGCAGGCCAAAGUAGAAAGAACCCCGGGUAAGAACAAGGUGAAGAUUUAGUAUCAGAAGGGGGAAAAAGUUCUUUACAAUCUUUCCUGCCUCUGAUUUUCCAUAGUCUUCUCACUCCCAUUUUCUAAAUGUGGUCACUCUUAAGAGAAAGUUAAUUAACAGAAUAUGCAAAUUAAAGAGCAGUUAUAACACUAAUUAACAUUUUCAUAAUAAUAGCUAGUCCAGUUCUGUACAUGUGUAAAUCAAGACAUCAGUGUCUCUGCUGCCUACAGAACUUCACACUGGAAAAUUGCAAUUACUUUGCUAUCAAAGCAGAACUGAGAAGCGUGGAAAUGGUGGCUUCUAAAAGCCUCUUCGUUUAACACAGUGUCCGAAUAGGUCGAUACCAUGCUCUGAUAGAUGAGCAAUGACUUUGAGCUUCAUUGUGGCCCAUCCUUUGGUUGGCAAGCAGUGGAUGGAAUGAUGACACAAUAGCAUCCCCUGCAGGACUGAGGUAACAACCCCAGAACUUGAGCGGCGACUUCUUUACCUCUUCCCCCUCCCUCUUUCAGUCCCAGGAAACUAAAGCUGUACCUUUUCAAAAUGUGGGCAAGCUGGAUUUUGCUGUGCUUUGCUGGAAGAUAGUCACAACUUGUUGAACAACUCCCCUGAGGACAAAGCAAUUGGGCGGCUCCGAACGCUCAGGGAAAGAAGUUGUGUUGGUAAAGAAAUUGCUGGCCAGGUGCGGUGGCUCACGCCUGUAAUCCCAGCACUUUGGGAGGCCGAGGCGGGCAGAUCACGAGGUCAGGAGAUUGGGACCAUCCUAGCCAACACGGUGAAAUCCUGUGUUUACUAAAAAUACAAAAAUUAGCUGGGUGUGGUGGUGCGCGCCCAUAGUCCCAGCUACUCUGGA